UACAGAGGGUGCUAGCGUUGUUCGGAAUCAUUGGGCGUAAAGGGCGUGUAGGCGGUUUGUUAAGUCAUGUGUGAAAUCCCUCGGCUCAACCGGGGAACGACGCAUGAAACUGGCAAGCUAGAGUACCAAAGAGGGGGGUGGAAUUCCCGGUGUAGCGGUGAAAUGCGUAGAUAUCGGAAGGAACAUCAGUGGCGAAAGCGGCUUCCUGGUCCAGCACCGACGUUCAGGCACGAAAGCGUGGGGAGCAAACAGG
rnacentral:rRNA from 1 species